rnacentral:rRNA from 1 species
CCUACGGGAGGCAGCAGUGGGGAAUUUUGGACAAUGGGCGCAAGCCUGAUCCAGCAAUGCCGCGUGCAGGAUGAAGGCCUUCGGGUUGUAAACUGCUUUUGUACGGAACGAAAAAGCUCUCUCUAAUACAGGGGGUGAAUGACGGUACCGUAAGAAUAAGCACCGACUAACUACGUGCCAGCAGCCGCGGUAAUACGUAGGGUGCAAGCGUUAAUCGGAAUUACUGGGCGUAAAGCGUGCGCAGGCGGUUUUGUAAGACAGAGGUGAAAUCCCCGGGCUCAACCUGGGAACUGCCUUUGUGACUGCAAAGCUGGAGUGCGGCAGAGGGGGAUGGAAUUCCGCGUGUAGCAGUGAAAUGCGUAGAUAUGCGGAGGAACACCGAUGGCGAAGGCAAUCCCCUGGGCCUGCACUGACGCUCAUGCACGAAAGCGUGGGGAGCAAACAGGAUUAGAUACCCUGGUAGUCCACGCCCUAAACGAUGUCAACUGGUUGUUGGGAAUUCACUUUCUCAGUAACGAAGCUAACGCGUGAAGUUGACCGCCUGGGGAGUACGGCCGCAAGGUUAAAACUCAAAGGAAUUGACGGGG